rnacentral:rRNA from 1 species
AGAUUGAAGAAGCUUGCUUCUGAUUGAUAACAUUUGAGUGAGUGGCGGACGGGUGAGUAACACGUGGGUAACCUGCCCUAAAGUGGGGGAUAACAUUUGGAAACAGAUGCUAAUACCGCAUAAAACCUAGCACCGCAUGGUGCAAGGUUGAAAGAUGGUUUCGGCUAUCACUUUAGGAUGGACCCGCGGUGCAUUAGUUAGUUGGUGAGGUAAAGGCUCACCAAGACCGUGAUGCAUAGCCGACCUGAGAGGGUAAUCGGCCACACUGGGACUGAGACACGGCCCAGACUCCUACGGGAGGCAGCAGUAGGGAAUCUUCCACAAUGGACGAAAGUCUGAUGGAGCAACGCCGCGUGAGUGAAGAAGGUUUUCGGAUCGUAAAACUCUGUUGUUGGAGAAGAACGUAUUUGAUAGUAACUGAUCAGGUAGUGACGGUAUCCAACCAGAAAGCCACGGCUAACUACGUGCCAGCAGCCGCGGUAAUACGUAGGUGGCAAGCGUUGUCCGGAUUUAUUGGGCGUAAAGCGAGCGCAGGCGGUUUCUUAAGUCUGAUGUGAAAGCCUUCGGCUCAACCGAAGAAGUGCAUCGGAAACUGGGAAACUUGAGUGCAGAAGAGGACAGUGGAACUCCAUGGGUAAGC